ACAUCAGAGAAUUCUUCUGAUUCUCCUCGUUCUCGACGAAAGAAAAAUAAAACAAAAUAUUAUCAAAUCGUGUCGAUAGUACUUUUACUCAUCGCGCUUUUUUGAUAAGUUGGACUAAGAAGUCCAGACUCGCUAAUCCAGGUUGGCUCGACCAUCAACGGGAAGUAACAUCAUUCGUCAGUUGACGAUGGCGGCAGGAGAUAGUACGCCGCCGUUGCCGUUUAGUAACCGACCAAGUAACUGCUCUGGUACCGUAACCAUGGCCAUUUCCCUCGCACGCAUCGUAUCAUGUCAUCGACCGGCGUAUCCAUCACUGCCCGUGGGACACCAAUGCCCAAAAUGAUAAACCCAGCCGCCUUCAUCCGAGACCAGCCAUUUUACAAAAAAUAGCAUCUGCUCUCUCGAAGUAGCCACCGCCUGUGUGCAUCUGGACGGUACAGUGGUAUAUUUAAGCACCAAGGAUUAUUACGGUUAACUCGACAUAAAAUUAAAAAAAUCGAUGAAUGCUGUCAUUGCCAUCAUAUUGAUGUGACAUUGAAUUCUAUUUUGGCCGCCACCGCAGUUAAAAACUAGAUGACGGAUUGCGCAGACAAUGAAACGAAAAAUAACCAUCACCUGCAUUAGCCACAGAACCAGAAAACGCGGACGCGGUUAUAUUUGCAUGAUUAGGGCAACGUAAAUGGCAAGCACUAGAAUACUCCACAGGGACAAAAUCAACAGCAACCAGACUGCAACCCAGCUUUGAACAGGAAUCAAUCGCAAAAUCAUCGGAUGUAGUUGGGGUUUCUACAUUUUUUAUCAGUAAAUAAAGGAAUGUGUUGCUUUAAAACAAUUUAUACAAGAAUUAAGCAUAUAGAUAGACUGAUAGUUACUGUUGUAAUAAAUAGCUUUCACCUAAUGAA